rnacentral:misc_RNA from 1 species
UUCCAGUUCCGUGGGAUUCUGAAAAUACGAACUUACCCUAAUUCCAAAAUGGACCAUACAUUUCAUCUUAAUUUUCAUCCUAAAACAUCUUAAUCUACAGUCGAUUUCUGAAAAUUUACGAUUCAAGACGAAGUGAUAAGCAGCUUCAAAUCGAACUUACCUGUGCCAUUUUCUCCAGGAUUGACACAAUCAAAUCCACAUCCACACUGUGGCGAUUCAUAGAAGUUAUCAAUUGCAAAAUCAGCAGAAGCAAUACCGACGGAGAAAUCGAGAUCGUCGCCGUCACGAGUAACUUCGACAAUAUUAAUCCAAAACAAAAGCACUUUCACCUGUACGCCUUUCAAGUUCGCAAGUCGAUCCUUAGAGAUUUUACCAGUAAUUUUACUCAUAUACUUGAGAUUAUAGCCGCUUAUGCUGAAACUGCACGAUUUGUUAAAGUAAACGGCGAAAUUGCCCGUUGUUUUGUCGAGUUCGUACCUUGUUACGCCCUUCGGAAGUAUCCCUACCGGAAAGUCGUAUUCCUGAAGAAUCUCAUACGCCGUCGGGGACUGAGAAUCCUCAUCGCCGACGACCGGUGAAGCUGCAGAGAGUUGGAGUAGGAGGAGGAGGAUGCAUAAGGGAAGGGCUACAGAAGGCAUAUCUUGUUCGUAGUUACCGAAAACAAAUUUACUUGAAAUUUGAUAUAUUACUCUUAUUUAUUAUUGAGGGGCUUGAAUUUGAAAUUUGUACUAUUCAGUUGUUCUCUGGUGUGCUG